CCCUGUAUUAAUAGGAUCUAUUUAUUGUUUCAAUUACUUUUAUUUAUUGUAUACUGACAAGUAGAGGAAAAAGAACCUCUUUCUACAGAGUAGUCUUUCUUUUUGGGUCAUUACAAGUAUGAUUCUAUUUUAUGACAUAAAUACAGAAAAUGGUUAUAGCCCAUUUAACAUUAAUGUAUAUUCUUAAAGUAUAUUUUGUGUGUUUAACAAACAGGAUCUACAGAUGUUCAUUUUUUUUAAAAAAAGCUUUUUGAUUAAUUAUCCUUUAAAAAAACAGAGAUGCAUUUCAGUUUAAAUUUUAGCGUCAGUAAUGUUACAGCUACCAUCAAUAUCUAUAUUUCUAAUAAACUUGGUAUUAUGGUUACCAUUCUAAUAUUUCUAUAUAUUAAAAGAUUUCCUUGUGAAUACAUGGGCAGAUUUUUUGUGAGAGUAGACUAAUAAGACACUUGUGUUAUACUAAUGAAUAGAAACAUAGAACUAAAAAAAAACAAAAAAAAACGUAAGAUGGCUGAUUCUGACUAGCACACACACACACACACAUAUAUAUAUAUAUGUAUAC